rnacentral:misc_RNA from 1 species
GCUCCGUAGGUGAACCUGCGGAGGGAUCAUUACAGAGUUUUUGCCCGCAAGGGUAGAUCUCCCACCCUAUGUUAUUCCUUCUCUGUUGCUUUGGCGGGCCGUCCGGCCUCGGUCAGGCCACCGGCUCCGGCUGGUGCGCGCCCGCCAGAGGACCCCAAACCCUAAAUGUCAGUGUCGUCUGAGUACUAUAUAAUAGUUAAAACUUUCAACAACGGAUCUCUUGGUUCUG